AAUACCGGAUAGUUCCUUGAACCGCAUGGUUCAAGGAUGAAAGACGGUUUCGGCUGUCACUUACAGAUGGACCCGCGGCGCAUUAGCUAGUUGGUGAGGUAACGGCUCACCAAGGCGACGAUGCGUAGCCGACCUGAGAGGGUGAUCGGCCACACUGGGACUGAGACACGGCCCAGACUCCUACGGGAGGCAGCAGUAGGGAAUCUUCCGCAAUGGACGAAAGUCUGACGGAGCAACGCCGCGUGAGUGAUGAAGGUUUUCGGAUCGUAAAGCUCUGUUGUUAGGGAAGAACAAGUGCAAGAGUAACUGCUUGCACCUUGACGGUACCUAACCAGAAAGCCACGGCUAACUACGUGCCAGCAGGGGGCGGGAAUACGUAGGUGGCAAGCGUUGUCCGGAAUUAUUGGGCGUAAAGGGCUCGCAGGCGGUUUUCUUAAGUCUGAUGUGAAAAGCCCCCGGCUCAACCGGGGGAGGGGUCAUUGGAAAACUGGGAAACUUGAGUGCAGAAGAGGAGAGUGGAAUUCCACGUGUAGCGGUGAAAUGCGUAGAGAUGUGGAGGAACACCAGUGGCGAAGGCGACUCUCUGGUCUGUAACUGACGCUGAGGAGCGAAAGCGUGGGGGAGCGAACAGGAUUAGAUACCCUGGUAGUCCCACGCCCGUAAAACGAUGAGUGCUAAGUGUUAGGGGGGUUUUCCGCCCCCUUAGUGCUGCAGCUAACGCAUUAAGCACUCCCGCCUGGGGAGUACGGUCGCAAGACUGAAACUCAAAGGAAUUGACGGGGGCCCGCACAAGCGGUGGAGCAUGUGGUUUAAUUCGAAGCAACGCGAAGAACCUUACCAGGUCUUGACAUCCUCUGACAACCCUAGAGAUAGGGCUUUCCCUUCGGGGACAGAGUGACAGGUGGUGCAUGGUUGUCGUCAGCUCGUGUCGUGAGAUGUUGGGUUAAGUCCCGCAACGAGCGCAACCCUUGAUCUUAGUUGCCAGCAUUCAGUUGGGCACUCUAAGGUGACUGCCGGUGACAAACCGGAGGAAGGUGGGGAUGACGUCAAAUCAUCAUGCCCCUUAUGACCUGGGCUACACACGUGCUACAAUGGACAGAACAAAGGGCUGCGAGACCGCAAGGUUUAGCCAAUCCCACAAAUCUGUUCUCAGUUCGGAUCGCAGUCUGCAACUCGACUGCGUGAAGCUGGAAUCGCUAGUAAUCGCGGAUCAGCAUGCCGCGGUGAAUA
rnacentral:rRNA from 1 species